GGGGUCGUCCAAAGUGAUGUUUAAAUACCCCCUCCCAUCUACAUGGUUGUCCAUCCGAGCCUGCGUGGAUCAUCCUUAGCCAUCCGAUCUCGCUUAGAUGGAAAACAAAUAUGCGUCAUUCGAUUGAAGAUGUGCAGAUCGUUCGAUCGCGCUUAUCCAAGAAAUCAAUCUAAACCGUUUAUGCGCGUGAGAGUGGACAUGGGUCGUUCAAUCGCCCGGGUGGCGCUCUUGUGGAGCCCCUAUUUGUGUGUCUGCCACGCGGUGCAUCCUGACUCACCGUGCUGCUGACAUCGCUAUCUUACGUGGCCCGUACUUUCUCUUUUUACGAUUUAACUCCUGUUUUUAAACUUUUCUUUCAAAUAUCCCCCCAUUUAUUUACAGUU
rnacentral:lncRNA from 1 species